GUGCACACUUCAGCAGCACAUAUACUAAAAUUGGGAGGAUACAGAGAAGGUUAGCAUGGGCCCUGAAUAAGGAUAACACACCAAUUCAUGAAGUAUGUUUCAUAUCUUU